rnacentral:lncRNA from 1 species
GCUUGUACCUACGUUCAGCAGUUCCCAAGCUCCUGUACCACGCCCAAGAAGAAUGAAGAUAUGCUGGACAUUGAACGGAUGCUGCAUGGAACAUCUCCAGCCCCAACCUGGAGGAGGACAAGAGGAGAGGCUGUCAAAGCGAAGACAAUUCUGCCUGUUGGCAGACGCCCUGGCCCCAGUUUGUAUCUUGCCUCUUCAGUCAUCACUGCUAGGAUGUUUGGCCAUGAGAAUAGGAAACGUCAGUGAGUCCCGCUACGAAGCCACUUGAGAAUCAUGAACCCAUGGCCAGGAAAGGAUAAAUUGUGGGGCUUAAGCUAGAAUUCCAACAAGCUCCAGGAAGGUCUGUCCCAAGGCUCCUGUUCUAGCAUCAGUAGUUGGCUCUGCUUUCAGGGGAAAAUGCUGUGGAUGACACUCUUCCUUGUGGCUUUGGGGCAUGAAGUGCCUGUCGGCUCCUCCAGGUCCUGGGAAGGAUUCCCCCACCACCCCUUAGGGGAUCCUCCUGCCUGACACUGAUCUUGAAACCCGACUUAUCUAAGACCUUAUUCUUGCAUGAAGUUGCCUGAUAUAAACUCUUCUUACUUCCCCCACCCCCACAUUCUUAGACUUAUUUCAAAGUUGUAAUCAUUACUUAUUUUAGAAUAAAAGUUAGUGCAGCUAAGA